rnacentral:lncRNA from 1 species
GACUCUUAUCUUGUAGUAGAUGAAUAUAUCGAUUCCUUUCUCAUCUCUUACCUCGGUACUCUGUUCCGCCGCCGCUGACCAGAGCGUUGGCCGCUGACUGCGCCGCCGCGAGGCCGUGCCGCGGCCCCUCGAUUCCACUCCCAGCUUUGCAUCCUCUCGAUUCCAUACCUCCACCGGCCACUCUAGACCACAGCCCACGACGCCUCCUCUCGGCGCUCAAAUCCACACCUUCACCGGCGGCAAGAUCUGCCGCCCGAGUCCACGGACGGGAGAAGGAGACGGCGGGAGCGAAGGACAUCGCCGGGCGCCCAAUUACCUUGGACGCUGCUUCUCCACAAUCUGUGGGCAGCGCGCUGCUUCUCCACAUCGUCGUCAGACCGAACUGGUUCAGGUUUGAGGGCUCGAGCUUCAGAACUCGCUGUUGUGCCUCUCCUGCAAUAUAUUUUCGCGUUGGUUCGGUUUGCCACUCGAUCGAUCCAUCAAUCGAUCGGGGUCUAAGAUCCGUAUGUCCUCAUGCUGACUUUCCAUGCAGGUCAUAGUGAAUUAUUCACGAUACUCCUAAGAGCCUGACGCAGUCGGUGUUUGAGGUGAGCUGAUUGAUUAAAACAUAGUAUUGUACAUAUAUUUUUGUUUAAUAUCUGCUUGUUAAUUCGCAUCAUACAAUUAAAUUAGUGAUUGCCAUAAGAUUGUAGAUUGAGAUAUACAAAGACAGACUAUCUGCUGAGUGCCAUGAGAUUUAUUAAAUUAUUUGGUGUUUGAGAUAUACAAAGACAGACUGUAACUGGUGAUUGCAAUAAGAUUUAUUAAAUUAGUUGUUUCCGUUUUUGUUUAAUAUCUGCUUGUUAAUUCGCAUCAUACAAUGAUAAGAUAUACAAUGACAUUUGCUACUUUAACACAGCUAGUCAGAUGGAUCUAACAAAUAUUAAAAAGUUACUGUGUUCUCCUAGACCAAGUGCAGACUACUUGGCUGGCAUAGAAGGUUUUCUUGAUUUUGCAUACACUGGAAAAAGUACAGAUGCCAAGAUCCGUUGUCCAUGCAUCAAAUGUGUCAAUAAGUUCUUGUUGAAGCGAAACACUGUAUAUGAUCAUUUGGUGUGUAAUGGAAUGCUACUUGGGUACACAGUUUGGGGUUGUCAUGGUGAAACUGCAGGAUACAUCUCCUCUAGCAAACGAAAAAGGUCAAAACAGGGAGGCAUAAACUCUAAUAUGUGCCAACUAGUCCAUGAUGUUUUCGGGAACAUAGAUAAUGGGUCUCAACUGAAUGACUGCGAUGACCCAAGCCCUCCAGAACAUGGACCAGAUCCUGAAACCCAAGCUUUUUAUGACUUGUUGAGAGAUGCAGAUGUACCUUUGUGGAAUGGGUGUGAACUAUCAAAACUUUCUUUCCUUGUGCUUCUGUUCAACAUAAAAUCCACUAACAAGUGGAGCAAUAAAUCUAUAAAUGAUUUGCUAGCAGUUCUGCAGCAAGCAAUUCCAAAUGGCAAUAAUUUACCUGGAACUUUUGCCGAGGCUAAGAAGAUCAUUGGAAAGCUUGGGCUUAGUUAUGAGAGAAUUCAUGUUUGUGAAAAAGAUUGUCAGCUUUUUUGGAAAGAGAAGGCUACGGAUGACUUUUGCUCAGUAUGUGGAGCAUCAAGGUGGAAAAACAAACCUGAUAAAACCAUGCUAACUAACAAGGAAAGGAAAAAAGCAAUCCCAAAGAAGGUGCUACGGUACUUCCCUAUUAAGUCAAGGCUCAAGAGGCUUUUUAUGCACAAGGAAACUGCUAUAGCAUUAAGAUGGCAUGAUGAGGAACGCAUAAAAGAUGGUGCAUUGCGACAUUUAGCUGAUUCAGCAGCAUGGAAGGAGAUUGACUCCAAGUAUAAGCACAUCAGAUCAGAUUCUCGAAACAUUAGAUUCACAAUCACAGCUGAUGGAUUCAAUCCGUUUGGUAAGCUGAGUUCUAAACAUAGUUGCUGGCCUGUUGUCCUAGUACCUAAUAACCUUCCACCAUGGCUGUGCACAAAGGCCUCUUCUCUUAUGCUUACUCUGCUUAUUCCUGGUCCAACUUACCCUGGAAAGAAUUUUCAUGUAUUCAUGCAACCAGUAUAUGAAGAACUAAUGGAGUUGUUUACGGUAGGAACUCGUACUUAUGAUGCAUCUCGAGGUGAGAUGUUUCAACUUUAUGUUGUUGUGUUGUCUACUGUGAGUGACUACCCCGGGCUAGCUCUCUUUGCAGGAUAUAGCGUAAAUGGUGAGUUUGGUUGUUUUCCAUGCCGUGAUGAAACAUGUUCUAAACGCUUGAAAUAUGGGCAGAAGUACUGUUUCAUGGGGCAUUGUCGAUUUCUGCCCCCAGAUCACAAAUUCCGUUUUGAUGCUAGAUCAUUUGAUGGGUUUGAAGAACAUAGAGCAGCACCUACUCCUUAUGCAGAAACUAGAGUUGAAGAUCAAAUAAAAUCAAUUUCAGAUUUUGAGAAGUCUAAAACCUGGAAGUGUGUCAGUGGCCUAUUCAAUUUGCCCUAUUGGGACUUCAAUUUACUUCGUCACAAUCUUGAUAUCAUGCAUAUUGAGAAGAACGUAUGUGAGAACAUAUAUGGAACACUUCUAGGGAUAGAAGGUAAGACCAAAGAUAAUUUAAAGGCACGACAAGACCUAGAACAUAUGAACAUUAAACGAGAGUUACAUCCACAAAAAAACCUAAUGAUAAGUAUUAUCUCCCACCUGCCUCCUUUAACCUAUCUAAAGAAGGGAAGCAACAAUUUUGUAAAGUCCUUCAUGGUGCAAGGGGUCCGAAUGGGUAUUCAGGAAACAUCUCAAGAUGUGCAAAUGUUGUUCAAGGGAGAAUCUCAGGCCUUAAAAGUCAUGAUUGUCAUAUACUAAUGCAACAUUUCCUGCCACUUGCUAUCCGAGGUCUACUCCCAGAUUAUGUCACAUCUGUGUUGUUUGACUUGUGUGGGUAUUUUAGAGAAGUGAGUGCAAAAGUCCUAUACAUCAGCGAGCUUGAGAAGUUGGAGGAGCGAAUCAUAAUGACAUUAUGUCAUAUGGAGAUGAUAUUCCCGCCAGGUUUUUUCACUGUUAUGGUGCAUUUGGUUAUGCAUCUAGCAACAGAGGCAAAAGUAGGUGGCCCAGUGUGCUACCGUUCGAUGUGGUUUGUGGAAAGGUAUGCUAGCUUCUUAUAUAAAUAUGGGGAUGCAUUACAUAUCGUUGUAGGAAAAGAUUAUUCAAUAAUUUUCUUCUUUCUUCUCUUUGUGUUUAUGUAGGUAUAUAGGUAAGUUGAAGUCGAAUGUCCAUAACAGAGCUCAUCCUGAAGGAUCUAUGCCGAAGCAUUUUUGGCAGAUGAGUGCAUGACAUUUUGUUCAAGAUAUAUUAUCGGUUUUGAGACUAAGCAUAACUUGGCUUUGAGGACCGAAGAUGACGAGGAGUGGGUUGGGAAUCAUGAUAUUGCACAUGGAUCAAGAUUAUUUCCUCAUUCUGGCAAUCCACUUGGAAGGCCUAGGAAUUAUGUUCUGAGCGGUGUGGCUAAAGUACAGGCACAUAGAUAUGUCUUGUGCAAUUGCUCUGAUGUGAACUCAUACCUUAGGUAAUAUCUUAUGCUUAUAAAUUGUCUUAGUUACCCUUUCCCCUACUUUACCUCUAUUUGUUAACUACUUUGCAGAGCUCGUGCUGAUGAGAUAACUAAUGGACGCAAUUUAAACCUUGAUGUUGUUGAGAGGAUUCAAAACGAUAAGUUCCACGAAUGGUUCCAAGCUCAUGUAAGUGCCAUAUUCUGCAUAUACUAUACACACAUCACUACAUUUAGUUUUAAUCAAAUUCUAAAUAUUCAGAUAAAGAAAUUGGAGAAGGAAAAUGGCGUCCAUAGUAUUGAAAAGGAUAUUAGAUUGUUGGCCCGGGGCCCAGUUAAUGCAGCCAAAAGAUAUUGCGCUUUCAACUCCCGAGGCUACCAUUUUAGGCCUAAACGCUUGGAUAAAGAGACACAAAAUAGUGGAGUCAUGGUAACUGCAAAAACAUCUCGUUAUGAUUCAGCACACGAUGCUAAUGCAGUUUUACAGGAUGUGACGUACUAUGGGAGGGUAAUUGAUAUUGUCGAGCUAAAUUACUCUGGACAGUUUUCAGUGGUGUUGUUUAGAUGUGAAUGGGUUAAUGUGUUCUCAGAAAAAGGAAUGAAAAAAGACAAGUACGGUUACACACUUGUCAAUUUCUCACAUCAAAUACACAAAGGAGAAAAGAUUGAGCAUGAGCCUUUUAUUUUCCCUAACCAGGCGAAUCAAGUGUUCUAUGUGAAAGAUGAAUUGAAUCCAGGUUGGUUUGUGGUAAUGAAGUUGCCAAAGCCUAGAGAUGUAUAUGACUUAGGUAACUUGGAAUGGGAAGAGGAGACAGAAAACCAGUCAUUUCAUGUUUCACAGCUUGGAGAGAUUUUGAAAAGAAAGAACAAUGACCAACACUGGGUUAGAACAGACGUUGAGGGGACAAUAGUGGAUGCUACUAGUGCUUCGAGCACCGAAGAAUAGUUGAGGUUAGUAGCAACAAGGUAUGCACUAUGUUCAGGUAAUAUAGUUAUGCUUUCCGAAUAUGCUCUUGUAUUUUUUGUCAUAAAGAUGACGUGUAUAUUAUUUUCUCCUAGAAAUGUCCUUGUAUGAAAGUAAUAGUAUGACUGUUUGAACUUCUGAUCAACCCAUUCAUAAAUUAAUGAAUUAUGUUAAUGUUUCUAAAUAUGUGGCUUUGAACAGUGCACUCAUAUAGGUUGAUCCAUAUUUCAUUUGUAACACAACAUUUGAGAUGUGAUUGUUACCUCUAAUAAAAUGUAUUGUUCAGUCUUGAUGUUCUUCAAUUAUGUUUUGUGCAUUCUUUAUUUGAUUUCGGGUUGACGCUUUCAUGUUAGAUAUGAAAUUUUAGCGAUAAAAGUAGGAGAAAGUGUUUUUUUAUUUUCUUGUUCAUGUUUUUGUUGCAUGCUACAGGUUUCGACUACAUGCUACAUGGAGGCAUAGAGGGGGUGGUGGCAUGUGUGCUUUGUGUUGGUACAGAACUGCUUGGUGGCUUCGUGCAGAGUAGCUAACAAACUUGCUUGACGAUAUACUAAUGUGUGAGACUAUGUGUUAGUCAAAACUUAGUGUACUCUUAUAUUUAUGCUUGAUAAUUUGGUUCGCUAUGACAGCACGUGCUUAUCUGGAACUUCAUUUUGUACUUUAAUCAACAACAGUUCAUAAUUGAGAUACACGCAACUUGUUUGGAAAUUUAUUUUGUACUCUGGUUCAUAGUUCAAUAUUGGUAUACUCUUGUAGUGUUCAAAAAUCCUGUUUUCGAUCACAGGUUGCCAUUUUUGUUAAAGUCUGAAUCUGUCCUGAAGCAGUGUGAAUGUUUUAGUUUCUCUACAUAUAGUUCUCUUGCUGAUGAUUUGAUUAGAUGGUUAAAAGUUUGCACUCUCAUGUGUCAAGAUAAAAGUUCAAUGUGGAAUGAAGUCUCAUUUACUAAGUUAAAAGUUCAAAGUUCUUCCAACGACACUCAGCUUUCUCAUAUUUUUUUCCUUGUUUUACCCAUGAUUGUGGAUUAAGGU